rnacentral:rRNA from 1 species
AUUGAACGCUAGCGGGAUGCCUUACACAUGCAAGUCGAACGGAGUGGCGAACGGGUGAGGAAUGUAUCUGAACGUGCCCAGUAGCGGGGGAUAACUACGCGAAAUCGUAGCUAAUACCGCAUACUAUUGGCACGGGCGGUAUCGGAUUAGCUAGUUGGUGGGGUAAGGGCUAACCAGGGCGACGAUCCGUAGCCGGUUUGAGAGGACGACCAGCCACACUGGGACUGAGACACGGCCCAGACUCCUACGGGAGGCAGCAGUGGGGAAUUUUGGACAAUGGGGGAAACCCUGAUGCAGCCAUGCCGCGUGUGCGAUGAAGGCCUUCGGGUUGUAAAGCACUUUUGGCAGGAAAGCGGUACCUGCAGAAGAAGCACCGGCUAACUACGUGCCAGCCGCCGCGGUAAUAC